AGCGAACGCUGGCGGCAGGCCUAACACAUGCAAGUCGAGCGCCCCGCAAGGGGAGCGGCAGACGGGAGAGUAACACGGGGGAACGUACCCUUUGGUUCGGAACAACCCAGGGAAACUUGGGCUAAUACCGGAUAAGCCCUUACGGGGAAAGAUUCAUCGCCGAAGGAUCGGCCCGCGUCUGAUUAGCUAGUUGGUGGGGUAACGGCCCACCAAGGCGACGAUCAGUAGCUGGUCUGAGAGGAUGAUCAGCCUCACUGGGACUGAGACACGGCCCAGACUCCUACGGGAGGCAGCAGUGGGGAAUAUUGGACAAUGGGCGCAAGCCUGAUCCAGCCAUGCCGCGUGGGUGAUGAAGGCCCUAGGGUUGUAAAGCCCUUUCUGCGGGGAAGAUAAUAACGGUACCCGCAGAAGAAGCCCCGGCUAACUUCGUGCCAGCCGCCGCGGUAA
rnacentral:rRNA from 1 species